rnacentral:rRNA from 1 species
UUGGAGGGCAAGUCUGGUGCCAGCAGCCGCGGUAAUUCCAGCUCCAAUAGCGUAUAUUAAAGUUGUUGCAGUUAAAAAGCUCGUAGUUGAAUUUCGGGGUUUAUCCGUUGGUCGGGCUUUUGGGUCUGUACUGGCGUGAUGAAUUCCUACCUUCUGAAUAACCAGCAUGUCAUUAAUUUGGUGCGCCGGGGAAGCAGGACUGUUACCUUGAAAAAAUUAGAGUGCUUAAAGCAGGCUAUUGCCUGAAUACAUUAGCAUGGAAUAAUGAAAUAGGACGGCAUGGUUCUAUUUUGUUGGUUUCUAGGAUCACCGUAAUGAUUAAUAGGGAUAGUUGGGGGCAUUAGUAUUCAAUUGUCAGAGGUGAAAUUCUUGGAUUUAUUGAAGACUAACUUCUGCGAAAGCAUUUGCCAAGGAUGUUUUCAUUAAUCAAGAACGAAAGUUAGGGGAUCGAAGACGAUCAGAUACCGUCGUAGUCUUAACCAUAAACCAUGCCGACUAGGGAUCGGACGAUGUUAAUUUUUUAAUGACUCGUUCGGCGCCUUACGGGAAAC